rnacentral:rRNA from 1 species
UACGUAGGGUGCGAGCGUUGCCCGGAUUUAUUGGGCGUAAAGGGCGCGUAGGUGGCCACGCACGUCCGUUGUGAAAUCGCCCGGCUCAACUGGGCGGGGUCGGCGGAUACGGCGUGGCUGGAGCAAGCUAGGGGGCAAUGGAAUUCCCGGUGUAGUGGUGGAAUGCGUAGAUAUCGGGAGGAACACCAGUGGCGAAGGCGGUUGCCUGGAGCUUUGCUGACGCUGAGGCGCGAAAGCGUGGGGAGCGAUCCGG